GACGAACGCUGGCGGCGUGCUUAACACAUGCAAGUCGAACGGAAAGGCCCUGCUUGCAGGGUACUCGAGUGGCGAACGGGUGAGUAACACGUGGGUGAUCUGCCCUGCACUUCGGGAUAAGCCUGGGAAACUGGGUCUAAUACCGGAUAGGAGCCAUUUUUAGUGUGAUGGUUGGAAAGUUUUUUCGGUGUGGGAUGAGCUCGCGGCCUAUCAGCUUGUUGGUGGGGUAAUGGCCUACCAAGGCGGCGAGGGGUAGCCGGCCUGAGAGGGUGGACGGCCACAUUGGGACUGAGAGACGGCCCAGACUCCUACGGGAGGCAGAAGUGGGGAAUAUUGCACAAUGGGCGCAAGCCGGAUGCAGCGACGCCGCGGGGGGGAUGACGGCCUUCGGGUUGUAAAAUCCUUUCGCUAGGGACGAAGCUUUUUGUGACGGUACCUAGAUAAGAAGCACCGGCUAACUACGUG
rnacentral:rRNA from 1 species